GCUCCAGUGGCGCAAUUGGUUAGCGCAUGGUACUGAUACCCCAAUGGGAAUGCAGCAAUGCCGAGGUUGUGAGUUCGAAUCUCACCUGGAGCAUGUCUUUUUUUUUUU
ensembl:miRNA